UACGUAGGUGGCAAGCGUUGUCCGGAUUUAUUGGGCUUAAAGGGAGCGUAGGUGGUUGCUUAAGUCUGUGGUGAAAGCCGACGGCUUAACGGUUGAGGGUCAAUGGAAACUGGGAAACUUGAGUACAGAAGAGGAAGGUGGAACUCCAUGUGUAGCGGUGGAAUGCUUAGAUAUAUGGAAGAACACCAGUGGCGAAGGCGACAUUCUGGUC
rnacentral:rRNA from 1 species